AGGCUUUGAUCCUGGCUCAGGAUGAACGCUGGCGGCGUGCCUAACACAUGCAAGUCGAGCGGAGUGCCCUAAGAGAAAUUUUCGAAUGGAUCUUAGACGCACUUAGCGGCGGACGGGUGAGUAACGCGUGGGCAACCUGCCCUGUACAGAAGGAUAACAUUGGGAAACCAGUGCUAAUACUUCAUAACACUUCUCGGUGGCAUCACUAAGAAGUCAAAGUUUUUUCGGUACAGGAUGGGCCCGCGUCUGAUUAGUUAGUUGGUAAGGUAACGGCUUACCAAGACGAUGAUCAGUAGCCGACCUGAGAGGGUGAUCGGCCACACUGGAACUGAGACACGGUCCAGACUCCUACGGGAGGCAGCAGUGGGGAAUAUUGCACAAUGGGGGAAACCCUGAUGCAGCAACGCCGCGUGAGCGAUGAAGGCCUUCGGGUCGUAAAGCUCUGUCCUAAGGGAAGAUAUAGACGGUACCUUAGGAGGAAGCCCCGGCUAAAUAA
rnacentral:rRNA from 1 species